CUUACCCUUCCGGACCACCUGAGAUCACCCCUAGUUUUUGGUGGGGUUCGUGUUGUUUAUUCUUUAGUUUUCUAUGUUGUGUCAUGUGUACUAUUGUUUUUCUGUUUGUCUUUUUCAUUUUUAGCCAUAGCGUUGUCAGUUUGUUUUAGAUUUAUGAGUUUGACUGUCCCUUUGGUAUCUUUCGUCCCUCUUUUAGAAUAGUAAAUAAAAUUAAUAU
rnacentral:lncRNA from 1 species